rnacentral:rRNA from 1 species
UACGUAGGGGGCUAGCGUUGUCCGGAAUCAUUGGGCGUAAAGAGCGUGUAGGCGGCUCGAUAAGUCCGCUGUGAAAGUCCAGGGCUCAACCCUGGGAUGCCGGUGGAUACUGUCGGGCUCGAGUCCGGAAGAGGCGAGUGGAAUUCCUGGUGUAGCGGUGAAAUGACGCAGAUAUCAGGAGGAACACCAAUGGCGAAGGCAGCUCGCUGGGACGUAACUGACGCUGAGACGCGAAAGCGUGGGGAGCAAACAGG